UGAUUCAAUGUGUAUAUCGCACAGAAUCGUGAGUAUCGCACGAUUUGAAUGAUUCACGCAAUUCACAAGAAAAGGUGUGAUUUUCUUUCUUUCUGUUCGAUCGAUGGCCAGAUUUUUAGUUUAGAUCAAACCCAUGACUCAAAUGAGUCUGAAAACAAAACAGAAGAAGAAGAAGCAGUAGCUUAGAUCGGAGAAAGAGAUGCAGAAGAAGAGAGAAGAAAUCAGCAUACCUAUUCUCCAGUGUCUUCAGACCAUCUCCUUCCAUUAGGUAGACGUAAAGCAUGUUUCUAGUAAGAGAGAGGGAGAAAGCUAUAUGACAGUUUUUAGAGAGCCAUAUGCUAUAUGACAGUUGAUUUAGGUUAACCAAGAAAGCUAUAUGACAGUUGUUAACAUAGGUUCUGUUGAAAAUAGUUGUUAACCAAGAAAGCUAUAUGACAGUUGUUGCUUAGAUAAUAUAGUAGGACUCUUGGUUCAAGAUUUUAUUUUUGGGUAACACACUGUUGGUGUUAAAAAAAGUGCAGGUUAAAUAGAAGUGACCCUGCUGGCAUUUGAAUAUUAAUUAAUUAACUUUAAAAUUUAUAAUUACUUAUUAAAAAUUAAAAAUUGUAUUAGUAAGUAUAAAAACUUCAUUACUGAU